UCCCUGGAAGACUAGUGAUUAGGCCUCGAUGCCCUCACCGCCGUGGCCCAGGUUCGAUUCCCGUCCAGGGAA